ACGAACGAAAAAAUCUCCGAUCAUUAAGCUCUUCUCGAAAGAAAAACAAACAAAAAAAAUUUUUAAAUUAAUGAUCAGUUCAGCGGUUCGCACGACCUCACCUUAUAAGUGCAUCCUGGUACAAUACUAAGAUAAUGACUUAUGGGGAUUUCGAUUGUAGAAAAAUAUUUGCAAAUGUCAACCUAAUCCUUUCAAUCCUUUUUACAUUUUCAAUCGAAUACGUUCAUAGGCGGAACUUGAACUGCCAAAUAAACCUUCUUUAAGUUUUAAGUUUUGUGAAUACCGGUGUUAAUUAUUUUACAUACAAAGCAGAGGAUGCGGACACAAUAAACAUUUCCAAACAUUCAAACAAAACUUGCUUUAAUGGCGACAAUAAGGAUGAACUUAUAAGGUGAGGUCAGGCAAACAGCUGUGUAAAAUUUUUUUAUUUUUGUUUUGAUUUUAUAGUAAAUCUAAUUGUCAAAUGCUUGUUCAAAUCAAAUCUUGUUGUAAAAUCUUAAACAAAUGUUUUAUUUGAUCCCAUAUUCCCCAUAUAAGCAACAAAAACAACAACAGGUUUAUAAUGAUGAUAAUACAAAUAUGAAACACAUUUGAAGAAGAUACGUUGUAAACUAAGUUUAUUUUUAAAACCACUUUAAAACCACAAAUAUAUUUACAGCAUUUGCC
rnacentral:sRNA from 1 species